GGUGGGAUGUCCGAGUGGCCAAAGGAUCGCGGCUGUAAACCGCGCGGCUAUGCCUACGCAGGUUCGAAUCCUGCUCCCACCA
rnacentral:tRNA from 1 species